rnacentral:rRNA from 1 species
AUUGAACGCUGGCGGCAUGCCUUACACAUGCAAGUCGAACGGCAGCAUGGGUGCUUGCACCUGAUGGCGAGUGGCGAACGGGUGAGUAAUGUAUCGGAACAUGCCCUGAAGUGGGGGAUAACGUAGCGAAAGUUACGCUAAUACCGCAUAUUCUGUGAGCAGGAAAGCAGGGGAUCGCAAGACCUUGCGCUUUAGGAGUGGCCGAUAUCGGAUUAGCUAGUUGGUGAGGUAAAGGCUCACCAAGGCGACGAUCCGUAGCGGGUCUGAGAGGAUGAGCCGCCACACUGGGACUGAGACACGGCCCAGACUCCUACGGGAGGCAGCAGUGGGGAAUUUUGGACAAUGGGCGCAAGCCUGAUCCAGCCAUGCCGCGUGAGUGAAGAAGGCCUUCGGGUUGUAAAGCUCUUUCGGCGGGGAAGAAAUGGUUUCGGUUAAUACCCGGAGCUGAUGACGGUACCCGCAUAAGAAGCACCGGCUAACUACGUGCCAGCCGCCGCAGUAAUAC